AUACUCUCUGAUGGUACACGCUAUCAAACGAAAAAAUACAAAUACUGAAUUCGAGGUUGAAGCGAUUCAUGGAGUGAGAAUAAAUAGAAAGAAGCAAAAAGAAUAUCUUAUAAAAUGGAAGAAUUAUUCAAUUGAGGAUAAUACAUGGGAACCCGUAACAAAUUUGAACUGUUCUGAACUUAUUGGAGAUUUUGAAAAUAAAAAUCAUAAUACUAAAAAACAAAAUCUUAAUUCCCGAAAUAAAUUAAAUUUAAAUACUUCUAAAA